rnacentral:rRNA from 1 species
AGAGUUUGAUCCUGGCUCAGGAUGAACGCUGGCGGCGUGCCUAAUACAUGCAAGUCGAACGAAGAACCUUCGGGUUCUUAGUGGCGAACGGGUGAGUAAUACAUAAGCAACCUGCCCCUAUGUCUGGGAUAACUAUUGGAAACGAUAGCUAAUACCGGAUACGAGUAUCUCUGGCAUCUGAGAUAUUUAAAAGAUGGGUUACAUCGCAAAGGGAUGGGCUUAUGGCGCAUUAGCUAGUUGGUGAGGUAACGGCUCACCAAGGCGAUGAUGCGUAGCCGAUUUGAGAGGAUGAACGGCCACAUUGGGACUGAGACACGGCCCAGACUCCUACGGGAGGCAGCAGUAGGGAAUUUUCGGCAAUGGGCGAAAGCCUGACCGAGCAACGCCGCGUGAGUGAAGACGGCCUUCGGGUUGUAAAGCUCUGUUGAUAGGGAAGAAUGUUACGUAUAGGGAAUGAUAUGUAAGUGACGGUACCUAUCCAGAAAGCCACGGCUAACUACGUGCCAGCAGCCGCGGUAAUACGUAGGUGGCAAGCGUUAUCCGGAUUUAUUGGGCGUAAAGGGUGCGUAGGCGGCAGUUUAAGUUUAAGGUGAAAGCGUUGGGCUCAACCCAAUACAGCCUCAAAAACUGGUAGACUAGAGUGCGGUAGAGGUAAAUGGAAUUUCUAGUGUAGCGGUGAAAUGCGUAGAUAUUAGAAGGAACACCAGUGGCGAAGGCGAUUUACUGGGCCGUAACUGACGCUGAGGCACGAAAGCGUGGGGAGCAAAUAGGAUUAGAUACCCUAGUAGUCCACGCUGUAAACGAUGAGUACUAAGUGUGGGAGGACUGACCCCUUCCGUGCCGCAGUUAACACAAUAAGUAUUCCACCUGGGGAGUACGACCGCAAGGUUGAAACUCAAAGGAAUUGACGGGGGCCCGCACAAGCAGUGGAUUAUGUGGUUUAAUUCGACGCAACGCGAAGAACCUUACCAGGGUUUGACAUCCAACUAACGAAGUAGAGAUACAUUAGGUGCCCUUCGGGGAAAGUUGAGACAGGUGGUGCAUGGUUGUCGUCAGCUCGUGUCGUGAGAUGUUGGGUUAAGUCCCGCAACGAGCGCAACCCCUAUUGUUAGUUGCUACGCAAGAGCACUCUAGCGAGACUGCCGUUGACAAAACGGAGGAAGGCGGGGACGACGUCAAAUCAUCAUGCCCCUUAUAUCCUGGGCUACACACGUAAUACAAUGGUGGUAAACAGAGGGAAGCAAUACAGCGAUGUGGAGCAAAUCCCUAAAAGCCAUCUCAGUUCGGAUUGCAGGCUGCAACUCGCCUGCAUGAAGCUGGAAUUGCUAGUAAUCGCGGAUCAGCAUGCCGCGGUGAAUACGUUCCCGGGCCUUGCACACACCGCCCGUCA